rnacentral:lncRNA from 1 species
AUGAUGUUGUGUUUACUUCAAUCAACUGUUGAUGAUUUUAAGUGGUGAAGAGCACCUCAGGACUGCAUUUCCAGAUGUCCAUGCUGUUGUUGUUUCCAGACAGAGAGAUUGGCAAGCAAUGCAUUGAGUUUUCUGCUGAUCACGUAAGGCUGUGUCCUCUUGUUCCUCUCUAGGCUGCACUAAGUGCUACAGACAUGGCCUUGGCCCUCAAUCGGUACCUCUGCACAGCUGUCCUGCCUUUGUUAACGAGAUGUGCUCCCCUGUUUGCUGGAACAGAGCACCAUGCUUCCCUCAUUGACUCUCUGCUACACACUGUAUAUAGACUCUCUAAGGGAUGUUCCCUCACCAAAGCUCAGCGGGACUCCAUAGAAGUGUGCCUGCUCUCUAUAUGUGGGUAAGUGGGUGACCAUUUGAGCCAAUUUUCUCCGUGGCAUGGUCCUUUGAGAUUAACAUGAAAAUCUUGAGUCAUUUAUAUAUCCAAAAUUAAAUUUAUUGUCCGAUAUGUGAAUGUGUGAGUCUUGAGGUUUGCCUUGUUCCAACAGCCAACUGCGACCUUCUAUGAUGCAGCACCUACUCCGAAGGC